rnacentral:tRNA from 1 species
AGUUGAUUAGCUUAAAGCGUUAUAUCUUGAAAAUAUAAAAAAGAAUUAAUUUUUUCUAUCAACUU